GACCUAGGUGAGGACAGGCAUUUCCUGCCCAAAUGUUGCAUUUUCCAAGACCACCCUGGCCUGUCACGCCCCCAUCCUGGGCCUUUAAAACCCCGAGACCCUAGUGGGCAGACACACAGGCAGCCAGACAUCACGAGGAGCACAUCAGAGGAAGAAAACCAAGCAGCUGGUCAUUGAGAGGACGUCCAGAGGAGCACACCAGCAGAAAAGCAUACCAACAGGCACCCAGGCUGGCAAGCCAUUGACUGACAGGGUGAGGCAGAGUUUGGCUGGGCAGCUGGAGGAGGGAGGAGAGCCGGGGUCCCUGAGCAGCCCAACUCCAGGGGAAGAUCAUCUCCUUUCUGGCUUCCCUAUCGGCUGAGAGCUACUGCCACUCAGUAAAACUUGACACUCAUUCUCCGAGCCUGUGUGUGAUCGAAUUCUUCAGGUACCCCAAGGCAAGAACCUGGGAUACAAGAAAACCCUCUGUCCUUGUGACAAGGUAAAAAAGGGAAAGUAGCUCUGAGACCAGAUGGGGCAUCCAUCCAGUGAACCCAGGAGCUCCAGGAGCUGCUGAGCAGGCAAAGAAAGGCUGAUUAAAAAUACACCAAGGCAGAAACUCUGGGCAAGAAUUGGUUUCUUCAGAAAGAAGAUUGGGAGGUGCUAAAAUUUAAAAAAAUAUAUAGUUUCAUGUAACUCUAGUUUUGGCUUUUUGGACAUCCUGAGGUUCAUGUGUCGUAUUUCCCUUGGCAUUUGGGACUCCAAGGGAUGGUCUGUUUUGCUUGGUUUCCCAACUGACCUCUCAUGGAUUCAUUCAUUUGUUCAAGAGGUUACUGAGUGUCUGUAAUGUGCCAGGCAUUGUUCACAGCUCAGUCUAAAGCAGGGGGUCCAAAACCAAGGUGCUGAUGCUAAGGAGCUCAUGCUCUGGUCAAGGACAAUCAAUAAAGACAAAAUGUAUCUCGUGUGUGCCAAGAGGAGGCUGAUGCCAAGAGAGAAAGUGAAUCCAGGAAGAGGGGUCGGGGUGCCAGGGAGGUUCCCUGAGGACACUGGCAUGGAGUAGAAACAUGAAGGCCUUGAGAGGGAGAGACUGACUGGCUAAUAUCUGGGAGAAAGGCAGAGAGAACAGCAAGUGCCAAGGCCCUGAGGCAGGAGCAUGUUCAAGCAGAAGAGAGGGACCAGUGUGGCCACAGCAGAGUGGAGGAAGAUUCGUAGACAGAGAAGCCAGAGAGGCAAGGAGGCCAGAUCCCUGACAAAGACUCAUGGGCUGCUGUGAGGAUCUGGGUUUUAUCCGUGCAAGGCAGGAGCAGAGGAAUGACAUGAUCAGACUUGUGGUUAAAAGGACCACUGUGAUCAUUUUGCUAGGGCAAGGGGCAAGGGGCCGUGGUGAGGGUAAAUGCCGACCCAGGAGCCAGUGAGGACAGAGUCUCCCCAGCAGCUGGGACCACAAUGGUAGAAGUGGGCUGGGAGAACUAGGGGAAGCUGGGGAUAUUUUUAAGGUCGAGCCAACAGUCUUUGUCACGUGUAUUGGGCAUGGUACAUGUGAAAAACAAGACAACACGCGUCUCAGGAUGGUGUCAAGGUUGUUGCCGUGAGCAAAUUGAACACUGAGCUGUGAGAACCAGGCACGAGUUGAUCAAGAAACGUACAGGUUUACAAAGAAUUGGUUUUGUGCUGGAAAAUGUAAAGGUAGACAUCUUC